GAUGAACGCUGGCGGCGUGCCUAAUACAUGCAAGUCGAGCGAACAGACGAGGAGCUUGCUCCUCUGACGUUAGCGGCGGACGGGUGAGUAACACGUGGAUAACCUACCUAUAAGACUGGGAUAACUUCGGGAAACCGGAGCUAAUACCGGAUAAUAUAUUGAACCGCAUGGUUCAAUGGUGAAAGACGGUUUUGCUGUCACUUAUAGAUGGAUCCGCGCCGCAUUAGCUAGUUGGUAAGGUAACGGCUUACCAAGGCAACGAUGCGUAGCCGACCUGAGAGGGUUAUCGGCCACACUGGAACUGAGACACGGUCCAGACUCCUACGGGAGGCAGCAGUAGGGAAUCUUCCGCAAUGGGCGAAAGCCUGACGUAGCAACGCCGCGUGAGUGAUGAAGGUCUUCGGAUUGUAAAACUCUGUUAUUAGGGAAGACCAAAUGUCUAAGUAACUAUGCACGUCUUGACGGUACCUAAUCAGAAAGCCACGGCUAACUACGUG
rnacentral:rRNA from 1 species